rnacentral:rRNA from 1 species
CAGGCUUAACACAUGCAAGUCGAGGGGCAUCAGGAAGAAAGCUUGCUUUCUUUGCUGGCGACCGGCGCACGGGUGAGUAACACGUAUCCAACCUGCCCUUUACUCGGGGAUAGCCUUUCGAAAGAAAGAUUAAUACCCGAUGGCAUAAUGAUUCCGCAUGGUUUCAUUAUUAAAGGAUUCCGGUAAAGGAUGGGGAUGCGUUCCAUUAGGUUGUUGGUGAGGUAACGGCUCACCAAGCCUUCGAUGGAUAGGGGUUCUGAGAGGAAGGUCCCCCACAUUGGAACUGAGACACGGUCCAAACUCCUACGGGAGGCAGCAGUGAGGAAUAUUGGUCAAUGGGCGCUAGCCUGAACCAGCCAAGUAGCGUGAAGGAUGAAGGCUCUAUGGGUCGUAAACUUCUUUUAUAUAAGAAUAAAGUGCAGUAUGUAUACUGUUUUGUAUGUAUUAUAUGAAUAAGGAUCGGCUAACUCCGUGCCAGCAGCCGCGGUAAUACGGAGGAUCCGAGCGUUAUCCGGAUUUAUUGGGUUUAAAGGGAGCGUAGGUGGACUGGUAAGUCAGUUGUGAAAGUUUGCGGCUCAACCGUAAAAUUGCAGUUGAUACUGUCAGUCUUGAGUACAGUAGAGGUGGGCGGAAUUCGUGGUGUAGCGGUGAAAUGCUUAGAUAUCACGAAGAACUCCGAUUGCGAAGGCAGCUCACUGGACUGCAACUGACACUGAUGCUCGAAAGUGUGGGUAUCAAACAGGAUUAGAUACCCUGGUAGUCCACACAGUAAACGAUGAAUACUCGCUGUUUGCGAUAUACAGUAAGCGGCCAAGCGAAAGCAUUAAGUAUUCCACCUGGGGAGUACGCCGGCAACGGUGAAACUCAAAGGAAUUGACGGGGGCCCGCACAAGCGGAGGAACAUGUGGUUUAAUUCGAUGAUACGCGAGGAACCUUACCCGGGCUUAAAUUGCAGUGGAAUGAUGUGGAAACAUGUCAGUGAGCAAUCACCGCUGUGAAGGUGCUGCAUGGUUGUCGUCAGCUCGUGCCGUGAGGUGUCGGCUUAAGUGCCAUAACGAGCGCAACCCUUAUCUUUAGUUACUAACAGGUUAUGCUGAGGACUCUAGAGAGACUGCCGUCGUAAGAUGUGAGGAAGGUGGGGAUGACGUCAAAUCAGCACGGCCCUUACGUCCGGGGCUACACACGUGUUACAAUGGGGGGUACAGAAGGCAGCUAGCGGGUGACCGUAUGCUAAUCCCAAAAGCCUCUCUCAGUUCGGAUCGAAGUCUGCAACCCGACUUCGUGAAGCUGGAUUCGCUAGUAAUCGCGCAUCAGCCACGGCGCGGUGAAGACGUUCCCGGGCCUUGUACACACCGCCCGUCAAGCCAUGGGAGCCGGGGGUACCUGAAGUACGUAACCGCAAGGAUCGUCCUAGGGUAAAACUGGUGACUGGGGC